AAGUUUCAAUAAUCAAAUAAAUUAUAUGCAAAAUAAACAACAAUAUGGUUCGACAUUAUUAUAACUUUGGCCCAACUCUGAAUAAUUUUUCAUUACAAUCAACAAUAAAUAGUAACAACAUUUUCUUUCGUAGAUAAAAUAAGAGACUAACAAAUAUUACAUCAAAAACACAUAUCUUGGCAAAACUAUCAUCUAACAAAAACGAAAACUCAUAAAGUCCAUCUAAUCAACACUAGAGACACACUAACAAGAAGAAUUCAACCAAUUUUUUGGCACAAUCAACAUAACAAUUAACAAUUGUUGGCAAAACCAUAAUAAACCUUUGCCUAUCAAAGAUGGAAUCCCUCAAUAGAAACUAUAUCAAUUUACCCAAAUACAACUCUUGAGAAAAACUAAUCUUGAAAUACUACUAAAAAAUUAGUAAAGGAAAGACAUCACAAAAAUUAGCUAAUGUUGAGAUAGUGAUUCCUUCCGAGUAAACCAUCAAAUCUUGAUCCUAUCCGCAUGAUUUUAGUCAAAUUUCAUGAAGAUCGGCCCAAAAGCGCUAAUAUAUCAUUGUUUCAUAACAGCUACCAGGCUGCCCGAAUUUUGUGAAUUUCUACAUUGUUUCUUUUGGGUUUCUCACAAUUUUGGGGCUAACUGGUGUCUCUCUC
rnacentral:lncRNA from 1 species